rnacentral:rRNA from 1 species
AGUGGGGAAUCUUGCGCAAUGGGGGAAACCCUGACGCAGCAACGCCGCGUGCGGGACGAAGGCUCUCGGGUCGUAAACCGCUUUCAGGAGGGAAGAAAAUGACGGUACCUCCAGAAGAAGCCCCGGCCAACUACGUGCCAGCAGCCGCGGUAACACGUAGGGGGCGAGCGUUGUCCGGAUUUAUUGGGCGUAAAGAGCUCGUAGGCGGCUUGGUAAGUCGGGUGUGAAACCUCCAGGCUCAACCUGGAGACGCCACUCGAUACUGCCAUGGCUAGAGUCCGGUAGGGGAGCGUGGAAUUCCUGGUGUAGCGGUGAAAUGCGCAGAUAUCAGGAGGAACACCAGCGGCGAAGGCGGCGCUCUGGGCCGGAACUGACGCUGAGGAGCGAAAGCGUGGGGAGCGAA